CUUGCAUACAGGUGCUGCACGGCUGUCGUCAGCUCGUGUCGUGAGAUGUUGGGUUAAGUCCCGCAACGAGCGCAACCCUCGUCCUUAGUUGCUAACAGUUCGGCUGAGAACUCUAAGGAGACUGCCUACGCAAGUAGGAGGAAGGUGAGGAUGACGUCAAGUCAUCAUGGCCCUUACGUCCAGGGCUACACACGUGCUACAAUGGGGUAUACAAAGAGCAGCAAUACGGUGACGUGGAGCAAAUCUCAAAAAUGCCUCCCAGUUCGGAUUGUAGUCUGCAACUCGACUACGUGAAGUUGGAAUCGCUAG
rnacentral:rRNA from 1 species